rnacentral:lncRNA from 1 species
GGGACCCCAUGCAUUAUCCAAUCCACGCUCAGCUAGCACAGUAAAGCAUAACAUCCUCAUCCAAGUUUGAACAAAAGAACAAAGCAGAUAUAGAAUACUGCAGGGUCCUCUUAGCUUCAACUUGAUUGUACUAUAUAUGUGUCUAUCACAUGAGGAAGAUUUUCUUUGAGAGCAUCAGUAGCUUCAAGAUUCGCUGCAUAAGGGUUUCUGCCAAUCACUGUUACAAAAUGAUGAUUUAUCAGUGUGGAAAAUAGUAUCAUUGGAAAUGAAGAGGAAAGCACGUGUAUAAUUUGUGCACUGUUUGUUCAAAAGAAAAAUAUUUAUUCUCUGUCGAAACUUAACUGACAUGUUUGGACAUAAUUUAAGUUAUUUUUUAUUGAAUU